AACGUAGGACACAAGCGUUAUCCGGAGUUACUGGGCGUAAAGGGCGUGUAGGCGGAGAUGUAAGUCUAUUCUGAAAGCUCCUGGCUAAACUGGGAGAGGCGAAUGGAGACUGCAUAUCUAGAGUGAGAAAGAGGAAAGUGGAAUUCCGCGUGUAGUGGUGAAAUGCGUAGAGAUGCGGAGGAACACCAGUGGCGAAAGCGACUUUCUGGUCCUUAACUGACGCUGAGGCGCGAAAGCAUGGGGAGCGAACGGGG
rnacentral:rRNA from 1 species